UUCUCCCGCCGUCAGCCUGCCGCACUUUUCCUUCUUACGUCUAUCUAUAUAUUAUAUCACACGCAUACAUAUAUCCACCUAUAAACACAUAUACAUACAUAAAUAAACAUAUCUCUCCAUAUUCUCUUUUUUCUGUCGUUCUCUUGUUCUAAAUCGGUCAUAUAUGUAUGAGUAUCUAUCCUUCGCUUUAUUCCGUCACUUAACUGGGGACGUUUCCCUUCCUGCUAUUCGAACACAUCCUUCAAGCAGCUGGAAACUGGGACUACCACUACAAGACAUCAACUUUUAUCCCAGCCCAUUACUUACCUCAUGUACCCUACACAGCCUCCAGGAGGGCCUGGCAUGAACCCCCAAAUUUCUGGUGGGCUACAGCCAGGCGGAAUGCCCCCAAGUGGGAUUCCACCUGGCGGACUGCCUCCAGGUGGACUUCCACCUGGUGGACUACCACAAGGCGGGCCGCCACCUGGCGGACUUUCCUCAGCAUUACAACCUGCACAGAGUAGUAUCGUUGAUGUUCCAACAACGCUUCCAGAUUUUGUCUCGCCAUCACGGCCUAAUGUCGGCCAGCUUGGCAGACCGAUCCAGUUACGAGCAAACUUCUUCAAGAUUUCAUUUCCUAAAUACAACAUUCACCAUUAUGAGGUGAGCAUAUCACCAGACAAAUGUCCACGCCGGGUAAACAGAGAGAUUGUAGAAACCAUGGUACAGGCUUACAGUGCUAAGAUAUUCCAUGGAGAAAAACCAGUUUUUGAUGGUAGAAAAAAUUUAUACAGUCGAAUGCUUCUUCCUUUUGAUAGAGAACGGGUUGAGCUUGAGGUGACUUUGCCAGGAGAAGGAAAGGAUCGGAUAUUUAAAGUAGGGAUUAAAUGGGUAGCGCAAGUUAACCUAUUUGCACUUGAAGAAGCCCUCUCAGGACGAACCCAGAAAAUUCCAUAUGAUGCUACGCAAGCUUUGGAUGUAGUGAUGCGACACCAACCAAGUAUGAUAUAUACUCCGGUGGGUCGUUCUUUUUUCAACCAACCCAGAACGAAGCACUAUCCGCUUGGUGGUGGCAGAGAGGUUUGGUUUGGCUUUCAUCAAAGUGUUCGCCCAUCCAAUUGGAAGAUGAUGCUGAAUAUAGAUGUGUCAGCUACAGCCUUUUACAAGGCUCAACCAGUUACCAGCUUCCUGUGUGAUGUGCUGGAACUACGAAACUUAUCAGAACAGAAACGACCCCUCAUAGAUGCUCAACGGGUCAAAUUUACUAAAGAAAUAAAAGGUUUAAAAGUUGAAAUCACUCACUGCGGGCAAAUGAGACGAAAGUACAGGGUUUGCAAUGUGACCAGGCGACCUGCUCAAACACAGUCAUUCCCCUUACAGUUGGAAAACGGUCAAACAGUAGAAUGUACAGUUGCUAAAUAUUUUUAUGAAAAAUACCAAAUGAAGUUAUUAUAUCCGCAUUUACCUUGUCUGCAAGUCGGUCAGGAACAGAAACAUACUUACCUGCCUUUAGAAGUUUGCAACAUUGUUGGAGGCCAACGUUGCAUAAAAAAAUUAACUGAAAUGCAAACAUCCACCAUGAUCAAAGAAACCGCUCGGUCAGCACCAAACCGAGAACGGGACAUCAACAGUUUGGUGUCUAAAGCAAACUUCAGUGAAGAUCCCUAUUUGCAGCAAUUUGGUGUUCAGGUCAAUCCAAAGAUGGUAGAAGUUGAAGGGCGUGUUAUAGAUGCACCCAAAAUCCAAUAUGGUGGACGGACGAAAGCAUUAGCAGUUCCAAACCAAGGUGUGUGGGAUAUGCGUGCCAAACAGUUUUACAAUGGGAUAGAGAUCAGAGUGUGGGCUAUUGCUUGUUUUGCUGCCCAAAAAAACGUCAAAGAAGAAGCCCUCAGGAGUUUUACACAACAACUACAGCGUAUUUCAAACGAUGCUGGCAUGCCAAUCAGUGGCCAGCCCUGCUUCUGUAAAUAUGCCAGCAUUCCUGAGCAUGUGGACCCAAUGUUUACAUAUUUGAAGAAUAAGUUCCAAGGACUACAACUGAUAGUUGUCAUACUGCCAGGAAAAACACCAGUUUAUGCUGAAGUGAAGCGUGUUGGUGAUAUCACAUUUGGUCUUGCUACUCAAUGUGUCCAGGCCAGGAAUGUUACGCGUACAUCUCCACAAACUCUCUCCAAUUUAUGUCUGAAGAUAAAUGUCAAACUAGGUGGCAUCAACAGCAUCUUACUUCCAAGUAUUCGGCCUGCUAUAUUCCGAGAACCCGUCAUAUUUAUUGGUGCAGAUGUCACUCACCCACCUGCAGGAGAUGCUAGUAAACCUUCAAUUGCUGCUGUUGUUGGCAGCAUGGAUGGCCACCCAAGUCGAUAUUCUGCUUCUGUUCGGGUCCAAGAACAUCGCAAAGAAAUCAUUCAAGAACUUGCCAUCAUGGUCAAGGAGCUUCUGAUGGAAUUUUACAAGUGUACUAUGUUUAAACCAGCUCGAAUUGUCUUCUAUAGAAAUGGUGUCAGUGAAGGACAGUUUCAGCAGGUACUAAGUUAUGAGUUGAGAGCUGUGCGGCAAGCCUGUAUUGACCUUGAUUUAGCCUACCAACCUGGAAUCACCUUCAUAGUAGUACAGAAAAGACAUCAUACCAGACUAUUCUGUGCGAAUGAACAAGAUCAAGUUGGUCGAAGUGGGAAUAUCCCAGCUGGAACCACUGUGGAUCAUGGUAUCUGCCAUCCAACAGAAUUUGAUUUUUACCUCUGCAGUCACACUGGCAUACAGGGAACCAGUCGACCUUCACAUUAUCAUGUUCUCUGGGACGACAACCGGUUUAGUGCAGAUGAACUUCAGACGUUGACCUAUCAGCUUUGCCAUACAUAUGCAAGAUGCACGCGGAGUGUGUCUAUACCAGCACCAGCUUACUAUGCCCACCUAGUUGCUUUCAGAGCUCGUUACCACCUGGUUGAGAAAGACCACGACAGCGGCGAGGGUAGCCACCAGUCAACUUCACAGGAAGAGCGGACCCCAACUUCCAUGUCGAAUGAGAUUGCCGUGCACCCUGACACCAUCAAGGUCAUGUACUUUGCUUAACUCUCAUCAUCUUACACUACCAUGUGACCAGCAGCUGUUUAACAGGAAGAUAAACGGACUUCUUAUGUUUUGAUGUUGCCUAUUGCCGUUGUUGUUGUUUUUGUUAUCAUUAUUAUUAUUAUUAUUAUUAUUAUUAUUAUUACUGCUGUUGUUAAUUUUAUUUAAUUUCAAGGAGAAGAAAAAUCAGUGCAUUGUGUUAAAAUAUAUUUGUUUAUUGAAAUACACACACACAUUUUUAUACACUUCAGUUUUAUUGGUUUGUCAUAAUUCUAUAUAAGUCAGGCGGCGAGCUGGCAGAAACGUCAGCACGCCGGGCGAAAUGCUAAGUGGUAUUUCGUCUGCCGCUGCAUUCCAAGUUCAAAUUCCGCCAAGGUCGAGUUUGCUUUUCAUCCUUUCGGGGUCGAUUAGAUAAGUUCCAGUUAUGCAGUGGGGUCAAUAUAAUCGACUUAAUCCAUUUGUCUGUCCUUGUUUGCUUUGUGUUUAGGGUGUUGCAUACACAAUCAUUAGAUUAUGCUUUCGCUUCCUGAACUGGGUGAUGAACAAAACACUUCAUUUCAUGUAAAUCCACUCAGCUGGCAAAAAUGUUAUUCUGUUACUAAUAGGUAUCCUGUCCAGGAGGGAAUAUUUAUGCUACAGAAUCUAGGGAAACUGGCCUUAUAAACUUAGGGAUCAGGAAGGACCUUCCAAUUAAAAAAAAAUUUUUUUUAAAGAUAUCUGUCUCAUUAUUUUAAUGUUCAUUGUCCAUGCUGGCAUGGGUUGGACGGCUUGACCAGUGCUGACCAGUCUGAUUUGGUAUGGUUUCUUCAGCUGGAGACCCUUCCUAACACCAACCACUUUACAGAGUGUACUCCGUGCUUUUAUGAGGCACUGCACAGGCACUUUUGCAUGUCCCUGAUGAGUACUUUUACAUGGUACUGCCACGAGUGCUUUACACCUCUUGGAACAUCAGUCUUAACACUUCUGCUAUGGAGUAUGGGUCUUCUUGAGUAUGGCAAGGUGCCAGGUAUCUCGGUCCUUUGUCAUCUUGCCUGAAAGGUUCAGUGCCCCGAGGUCAUUCUUCAGUACUUCAUCCCAUCUCUUCCUGGGUCCCCCGCUUCCAUGUGUUCCAUCCACCCUGAGAGAUCCGCACUUCUUUGUAGGGCUGUUACCAUCCAUUCACAUCACAUGACCAAACCAGUGCACAGCAACCAAUUUCUCCUAUGCCUAACUUUUCUCUCAGAACAUUGGUACUCUGUUGAACAUAUACACUUACAUUAAACAUCCAGUGGAGCAUACUAGCUGCAUUCCUUUCUAACCUUUGCAUGUCCUCUGCAUUCAUGGCCCAUACCUCACUACCAUGUAGAAUUGCUGUCCAUAUACAUGCAUCAUACAAUCUUCCUUUCACUCAGAGAGAGAAACCUUUUAUGCCCAACAGAGGUAACGGCUCUCUGAAUUUCCUCCAUACUAUUCUUAUUCUAACUAUCACACUGUAUCCUCCACUGCUAAUUUGGUAGCAGAAAUUAUCUGCUAGCUUUAAUGAGCAACCAGGCAUUUCAGAGAAUCAAUUUCUCGAGUCUCUAAAGUUUUUAAGAAUCCUGUGUAUCUUCCACAUACAAAAACUAUCUCUGAUAAUCUUCCUAUUAACUCACUGCACUUCUUGUGUGUCCAUAGCUUACACUGGGUACAUUGUAUGAAGUCCCUGUCUAUACCUCUCCUGCAAAUCAAACAGGGCCACCUACCUGAGUGGGGUAGGGUCCUGUCAGUUUUCUUGCUUACUAGGACCUUAGUAUUUGCCACAUUAACCUUAAGGCCCUUAGAUUCCAGGUUUUGCUUCCCCUUCCCUACUCUGGGUUCAAAGACUUGCAUGUUGCAUGGUGAACUCACUAGUGAUGGUGGCAUGAAAAAAUGCCCUCAGCACAUACUUUAAAGUGGUUGGCAUUAGGAAGGGGCAUUCAUGUAAAAAAUCAUGCCAAACCAGACACUUUAGCUUACCAUGGUUCUCAGGCUUGGCCACUCCUGUCAAACCAUCCAACCCAUGUAAGCAUGGAAAAUGGGCAUUAAAUGAUGAUGCUCAGUACAUUUGUAUUUAGAGAGAUAGCGUCUCAUAAGGCGAGGUUUCUAUAUAUGUUAAAUUUGCAGAAGAAUUUGUGGCAUGGGCGAUUUAGCUUAAUGGUUCAGAGCACUGCGACGCGUAAUCACGGAGGUGAGUUGAAGUUUCAUAGCCAGCCGCCAACAAUUUUUUCUGCAAAAUAGGGGUAGCUUAUCCUGUUCAGAGAUGGGUGAAGGUAGGAAGAGAAGUUAAGGUCACUUUUUAACAAAAUUGCUGGGAGACAAUACUUCCCGCUCAUCCUCCCUUUCCUUUUUAAGGGAAACUUGAGAAAGUUGGUGAAGUAUUGGCCAAAGAAGGCCAGAGUGAAACUUCCAUCAACUGCAUUACUUGACUGACAGAGGACUGUGAGUGCCUGGUGACACUUUGGGUACCAGAUGCCCUUCCUCGGGCUGUGAUUGACCCAGGACUGCAGUUCAGACAAAGAGACGAGUUGUGGAAAAUCCUGUCUGACAAAUGGCGAUCACAUCUGUUCACCAUCAGGGAAGCGCUGGAGAUAUAACCUCAGUAUCUGUCUUCAGCUCUUUCAGUUUGGUGCACCAUACAACCCCUUUUGCUAAGGCUAAGAAAAACUGCCUGCUUUUCUUGGCCAAAGAAAGGUGGUGGGAUGAAUUUCACAAUGGACUCAGUUGAUAGCCAGAUCUCUCUUACAUGUGACAGCUGUUCAGCAUAAACCCACAAAUCAGCAAUGUUCAGGCCCACAGUUUAUCCUGAACUGGCAAUGAUCCCUGGUAGCAUUGCCACUCCAAGGAUUUCUGGAAAUUAUUCAUAGGCCCAGGUCUGAAAGCCCUCUGAAACAGACCAGUCAACUCAUUCUCAUCAAUACCCAGAGUCUCCCUGAGAAUGUUGAUGCACUUGCCUGCUACUAACCCUCUAUUGAAUGCCAUAGCAAAACUUCCAUCAACUGCAUUGCUCGACUGACAGAGGACUGUGAGUGCCUGGUGACACUCUGGGUAACAGGUGCCCUUCCGGGUAACAGGUGCCCUUCCUCAGGCUGCACUUGACCCAGGACUGCAGUUCAGACAAAGAGAUGAGCUGUGAAAAAUCCUGACAAAUGGCGACCAUAUCUGCUCUCCAUCAGGGAAGCACUGGGGAUGUAACCUCAGUGUAUGUCUGCUCAUCAGCAACUAUAGCAUGCUCAUCCCUCCAUUCAAUGGAUGUUGACAGCAAAUGGAAAGCCUGACUAAUGGAAUGCUUCCUUUCCACAGAAAGCAGAAGAGUCUGUGCUCCAGCUUGGUAGUAAUAUGUAACAAUAAUCUAUAACAGAAGUGAAUGUAAGCAUUUGCCACUUCUUCUUGACUUGUUAUGGAUAGCUUUCUCUCUGCCCAUUUGUGGGUGAGGUUGACUCCUUUGCCAAUCACCUCAUCCCAGUUCUACUCCACCUAGGGAUCCAGACCAAAUCAGACCCCUAGCAAUCAUGGAUAGCUUUCUCUCAGCCCAUUUGUGGGUGAGAUUGACUCCUUUGCUCAUCACCUCAUCCCAGUUCUACUCCACCUGGGAAUCCAGACCAAACCAGACCCCUAGCAAUUUAACUGGUCCCUCUGUCAAGCAUCCAACGAUAUUAUUGGAUGGCAGGGACCUGCUGCUCCACUGAUUUCUCUGAAUUAAUUUUUGCUCCUGUCACUGCCUUGUGUUUUUUUUAAGGCAGUGCUGACCAGGUCUAUGAGCCUGGUUUUCAACACUAUGAUGGUGAUGUCAUCUGUAUAUACUCAGUUCUCACGUUUUCUAGUUUGUGUGGGAUGCCUCUUAACACCUCCAAUUUCUGCAAUAGUGGCUCUAGAGCCAAUACAUACAAAAGAGAUAAGAGGAUACACCCUUGAUUGACGGAGCACCUGAUGUUGAAUGGUUCCGAUAGGUAACCACUCACCCAAACUAGGAAGCAGAUAGUGCUGUACAUUGCAGUGAUCCAGCCAUAGAAACUGGACCUGAAACUGGCUACCUUGAGAACAGCCACCAAAUAUAGGUGGUUGACCCUAUCGAAAGCUUUAGAUUGAUCCAAAUUGAUCAAGGCCCCACCCAUGCAGGUCUCUUUGCCCACUCUGUCUAUGAUGUAUCACAUGAAGUGCAAUUUGUGGAUGGAUUUGCUUGGGAUUGUGCACAUUUAUGCAUCACCGAAUUGUUUCUUGAUGACAAGCGUCAACCUCUUUCAUAACACCUUGGCCAAAAUUUUGUAAUCUGUAUUCAGCAGCAUUAUGGGCCCAAAGUUUUCUAUUUGAUACCCCUUGUUUAGGUCCUUUCUCAGCAGUGCUACCACUCCUCAACUCACAGAACUAGGAAUUCUCCCAUUCUGCUGCCAAUUUCAGUAAAUAUCUGCUAAAGGGCCACCAAAUAAGUCUUGCAUAUAAAAUAAAACUCAUAGAGUAGCCCAUCAAAAGUGAUUUGCUGCCCUUCCCUCAUGAAACCCAUCAUCAUAUCCUGUAUUUCCAUGGCUGUGAUCAGCAUUUUGCAAUUCUCGUGUCUGCCAAAAAAGGGCAUGAAAGCUUGUCGGUUGGGGAAUCUGGUUUCACUGAUAGUCACCACACAUAAAACUUAGUGACCUGAGGUCAUUGCGUGGAUAGUCCUGUUUCCAAGGCAACCCCAGACCACUUGCACUAACACUAUUCUGAGAGCAAAGCCAUGCUUGUCAGGGAGAAGGAGAAUGAAGUGAAUCACCGUAUUUUUUGUGUAGAGAGGGAUGUUCUGUCUGUCUGGUUAUUUCUGGGUGUCAAUACAGGCAUUUCUUUGUAGAGCCUUUUAUUUACAAUCCCUUAGACAUCUGUUCCUUUGGGAUAUUUCACUCUCAGCUUGUUGCUUUGUUUAGGAGUGUCAUGUGGGGGUAAGAUGUAUUCAUUUAGAGUGAUGUCUGUGUAAUCUUAACCGUGUUUUAAGUUAUUGUUGUUUGUAUCAAUGGCUGUGUAAUUAGUGAUAUGUUGUUGGUUUGGAUUGCUGAGUUUUCAUUUGUAGUGUUGAAGAUAUUUGUGAUUGCAUUGGUGUGUGGGUAUGUGGUGGUUUCAACUGAUCCAAAUUGAUCAGGGCCCCACCCAUGCCAGUUUCCUUACCCACCCUCUCUAUGAUGUAGUGCAUGAGAUAGAGUUUGUUGUAGAUAGUUCUGUAUAGGAUACCACACACCUGUGUGUUACCAACCAACUUAUUGAUGACAAGCACCAACCUCUUGGCUAACAUCUUGGCCAAAAUCUUAUAAUCUUCAUUUAGCAGAGUUAUAGGCAUGAAAUUUGUCUCCCCUGUUCAGGUCGUUCCUCAACAGCACCACCACUCCAUGGCUCACAACACUGGGAACUCUCCCGUUCUGCUGCCAAGAGACUGCUGAACAAGUCUGGCAUAUGAAAAUAAAGCUCAAAGCGCAGACCGUCCUGCCCCGGAGACUUCUUUCUUGUUCAGGCUUUCAUCACAUCCCUUAUAUCUUUGGCUGUUAUCAGCAUUUUGCAGAACUCCACAUCCCUGGCUGAGAGGCGCAGCAUCCCAGAACCACCACGCACCCCAUACAGUUAGGUGAAGUACCGCUGAAAUUUUGCACACAUCUGCUUGGACACAGUUAUCAUGUGCCCAUCACAGCCCACCAAGACACAGUGCCUCUGUUGCCUGGGCCCAUUGAAUGGUAUUUGUCCCCUCCCAUCUCAGUGCAUGUGCUCUAGCUCUGGCAACACAACCUUUGUGCUUGGCAUUGAAGAAUUGAUCAAGAGCCAGUCUCACCACAAACACAUCAGUCACUAUGCCUUUCCUAAGCACCGCUUCUAGCUUCCUAACUAGGUCUCCCUCUAUUUUAGAUUCCUCUAACACUAUUUCCUUAUUAAAACCUACCACCUCUACUCUAAUAACCCAUUUCAGGGCUAUCCACCAACAGCUAUUAAUGUUUGCACCCGCCAACUCUUGAUGGACUCACUUGCUAAUCUGGUCUCUGAAAGCUUGGCGUGCCAGGAAGGAUAUAUUCAGCUUCCAGUAUCUAGGGCCCUGUCUAUGGAUCCUAUCUAUGUCGACCUUACAGAUCACAAAUUCAUGGUCCAUGUAGCCAAUGACUUUGAAAUGUGGAUAACUUAUACUACUUUUAUGUACAGGCUUACAAAAUACUCUAUCUAGAUAUGAUCUGGAAGGCACAAUGCAGUUCGCCCAUGUCCACAUUGGCACAUUUGGGAAAUCCAGUCAACACCUGUCGGCCAACUGGAAGCGACUGAUCAGUGUUCUGAGGCUUUUAUUCCCCCCUCUCCUAUCAGAUAGCCCCACUCUAUCCAGAUGUGCAUCCAAGAUGGCGUUCCAGUUACCCACUAACAAUAAAGAACAUGACAUUUCAGGGAAUAUUUUCAAAUGUCUGAAAAAAUCUGGCUGCCCUGCCUCCAUGGGGAUGUAAACAACUAAUCUUACAUCCUGGCCUACUAACGUACCCUUCGGCUCUAGGAAGAUCAUCUGAACUUCGAGAUCUAGGCCUUUGCUAAACAGCACUGCCACCCUGCCUCCCAUUCUGAGCUAAGAAUGUGUAGAUCUCAUAAUCAUUGAAAAUGAGUGCAAGAUCGCAUGUGUCAGAAAUCCUGGUCUCACUGGCUGCUAUCACAUCCAAACCUAGCGACCUGAGGUCAUUGAGCAAGUGACCUUGCUUCCAGACUGACCUCAGGCUGCAAAUAUUUAUGCAUCUCACUCUGACAAUUUCCAUGAUGGCUUGAAAGGGUUGAGCAAAAGAAAAGAAAAAAAAAGGCAGGGUUACUUACCCUCUUGGUGUUGUUGGCAGCCCAGUGACCUGGGCUCCAGAUCCUGGUUCCUCUGGGAAAUUGGCUAAAAGACUCUUGGUGGUGCAGAUGUUUGGCCUUCUCACAUCAUGUGGGAAGUCCUUCUGAAUUUCUUUGAAUACUUUGAGGGGUAACUGUAUUAACAUAAGGUGAUCUGGAACCCUAAGGGUGCUGUUGUGAUAGAUUGCACCCUCUUUCUCAAUUUGCUUGUUUCUGAUUAUGAGAGUCAACAAAUUUUUGUUGGCUCUCCUCAUGAGCACAUAAUUCAGUCUGUCUCACACAACUUUCUCUCUGUCUCACACAGCUUUCUCUGUCUCAUGCAACUUUCUCUCUCUCUCUCUCACGGGGCUCUCUCUCUCUCUCACGGGGCUCUCUCUCUCUCUCACAGGGGUCUCUCUCACAUAGCUCUCUCUC
rnacentral:misc_RNA from 1 species